CCCAGGGGCUGGCGCGGCAGGGCCCCCGGUGUCCUUGGUGGCACUGUGCGCCCUCGCCGCUCGCCCCUGGG
rnacentral:pre_miRNA from 9 species